rnacentral:rRNA from 1 species
GUGUCAGCAGCCGCGGUAAUACGAACCGUCCAAACGUUAUUCGGAAUCACUGGGCUUAAAGGGUGCGUAGGCGGCCUGUUAAGUUGGGUGUGAAAUCCCUCGGCUCAACCGAGGAAUUGCGCCCAAUACUGGCGGGCUUGAGGGAGAUAGAGGUGAGCGGAACUUAGGGUGGAGCGGUGAAAUGCGUUGAUAUCCUAAGGAACACCGGUGGCGAAAGCGGCUCACUGGGUCUCUUCUGACGCUGAGGCACGAAAGCUAGGGGAGCGAAGAGGAUUAGAUACCCUUGUAGUCC